GCCGCCCGUACAUUCUGAAAGGGGUACCUGUAACGCGGAAUACGCUGUUGAUAUCUGUAUAGGUUUACAUGUUAUUGCAAUUGUUUUCAUGCACAGUUAUGAUGCCCUACACCUGCCUACUCCCACGGCGGACACCCACGGCCAGCCCAUGGCCACCUGACCCGGAACCACACUGAUGAGGAUCAUAUUACCAGCACGACUCUCACAACAUAGAGCCGACCAGGGAACUCACAGGGACCCGACGAGCAGGGACCGAGACACUACUCUCAGGUAUUUGCUGACCACGCAGACCCGGGGAGGGCUGGACCCACCCGGAAUCCCCUUACCUCCUCCUACGACCUUGUAGGACACAGCGACCCUCAAAAGGUGAGUGGAACCCGCGGACCGCAGGAGGCCGCGGACUUCCCACUCCCCGUCGCUGACUCCUCUUUGUCGCCCACAGGGGACAUGAUCACACACACACACACUUCCCAUCCCCAUCAUUUUCCUUACCCACCAACCCUACUCAGACGGACCCACCUGACGUACCACCCCCAAAACACCUGGACCAGACUGGGACGCAUAGACCUACAGACACACUCACCACUCCACCGCGACGCAAAUGGCUCUCACACCGGACGACCUCACCAUCCUUUCUAUUAAUGCCAGAGGCCUCAACAAACCAGAGAGAUGCUCUGGGGCGCUGAGAGACUUCCACGCCAACAGAGCAUCCAUCGUACUGAUACAAGAGACGCACUUUAGGGAAGGCUGCAGACCGAAACUGACUAACCACCACUUCCCGACGGGGUACUAUAGUGAUUACCACGCAGGGAAGUCCAGGGGCACAGCCAUCCUGAUCAACAAAC